AUUGAACGCUGGCGGAAUGCUUUACACAUGCAAGUCGAACGGCAGCACGGACUUCGGUCUGGUGGCGAGUGGCGAACGGGUGAGUAAUGUAUCGGAACGUGCCCAGUCGUGGGGGAUAACGUAGUGAAAAUUACGCUAAUACCGCAUACGAUCUAUGGAUGAAAGCGGGGGAUCGCAAGACCUCGCGCGAUUGGAGCGGCCGAUAUCAGGUUAGGUAGUUGGUGGGGUAAAGGCCCACCAAGCCAACGAUCUGUGGCUGGUCUGAGAGGACGACCGGCCACACUGGGACUGAGACAGGGUCCAGGCUCCUACGGGAGGCAGCAGUGGGGAAUUUUGGACAAUGGGCGAAAGCCUGAUCCAGCCAUUCCGCGUGCAGGAUGAAGGCCCUCGGGUUGUAAACUGCUUUUGUACAGAACGAAAAGGUUUCUACUAAUACUAGGAGCUCAUGACGGUACUGUAAGAAUAAGCACCGGCUAACUACGUGCCAGCCGCCGCCGUAA
rnacentral:rRNA from 1 species